CCUACGUGUGGCAGCAGUGAGGAAUAUUGGUCAAUGGGCGCGAGCCUGAACCAGCCAAGUAGCGUGAAGGAUGACUGCCCUACGGGUUGUAAACUUCUUUUAUAAAGGAAUAAAGUGAGGCACGUGUGCCUUUUUGUAUGUACUUUAUGAAUAAGGAUCGGCUAACUCCGUGCCAGCAGCCGCGGUAAUACGGAGGAUGCGAGCGUUAUCCGGAUUUAUUGGGUUUAAAGGGAGCGUAGAUGGGUUGUUAAGUCAGUUGUGAAAGUUUGCGGCUCAACCGUAAAAGUGCAAUUGAUACUGGCAGUCUUGAGUACAGUUGAGGUAGGCGGAAUUCGUGGUGUAGCGGUGAAAUGCUUAGAUAUCACGAAGAACUCCGAUUGCGAAGGCAGCGUACUAAACUGACACUGACAUUGAGGCACGAAAGUGUGGGUAUCAAACAGGAUUAGAUACCCGAGUAGUC
rnacentral:rRNA from 1 species